rnacentral:rRNA from 1 species
GUCGAACGGACCCAUAUUGAAACCUAGUGAUAUAUGGGUUAGUGGCGGACGGGUGAGUAACGCGUGGGCAACCUGCCUUACACAGGGGGAUAACACUUAGAAAUAGGUGCUAAAACCGCAUAAGCGCACAGCUUCGCAUGAAGCGGUGUGAAAAACUCCGGUGGUGUAAGAUGGACCCGCGUCUGAUUAGCUUGUUGGCGGGGUAACGGCCCACCAAGGCGACGAUCAGUAGCCGGCCUGAGAGGGCGGACGGCCACAUUGGGACUGAGACACGGCCCAAACUCCUACGGGAGGCAGCAGUGGGGAAUAUUGGACAAUGGGGGGAACCCUGAUCCAGCGACGCCGCGUGAGUGAAGAAGUAUUUCGGUAUGUAAAGCUCUAUCAGCAGGGAAGAAAGAAAUGACGGUACCUGACUAAGAAGCCCCGGCUAACUACGUGCCAGCAGCCGCGGUAAUACGUAGGGGGCAAGCGUUAUCCGGAUUUACUGGGUGUAAAGGGAGCGUAGACGGCAGUGCAAGUCUGAAGUGAAAGGCGGGGGCCCAACCCCCGGACUGCUUUGGAAACUGUGCUGCUGGAGUGCAGGAGAGGCAAGUGGAAUUCCUAGUGUAGCGGUGAAAUGCGUAGAUAUUAGGAGGAACACCAGUGGCGAAGGCGGCUUGCUGGACUGUAACUGACGUUGAGGCUCGAAAGCGUGGGGAGCAAACAGGAUUAGAUACCCUGGUAGUCCACGCCGUAAACGAUGAUCACUAGGUGUCGGUGGGUAUGGACCCAUCGGUGCCGCAGCAAACGCAGUAAGUGAUCCACCUGGGGAGUACGUUCGCAAGAAUGAAACUCAAAGGAAUUGACGGG